GAUGAACGCUGGCGGUUAUGCUUUACACAUGCAAUUCGUACGAAGUGCGAUGGGGUUUACUCUAUCGUAUGGCAUUGGCGGACGGGUGCGUAACGCGUAAGAACUUACCUUUUGCGAGGGACAACCGCGGGAAACUGCGGCUAAUACCUCAUAGAGCUGAGGAGCGAAAGGUUGAAAACCACCAAAAGAGAGGCUUGCGUCUGAUUAGCUAGUUGGUGAGGGUAAUGGCCUCCCAAGGCGACGAUCAGUAGCUGGUCUGAGAGGAUGAUCAGCCACACUGGAACUGAGACACGGUCCAGACUCCUACGGGAGGCAGCAGUGAGGAAUUUUCCGCAAUGGGCGCAAGCCUGACGGAGCAAUACCGCGUGGAGGAGGAAGGCCCGUGGGUCGUAACUCCUUUCUCAGAGAGACACAAUGACGUAUC
rnacentral:rRNA from 1 species